rnacentral:sRNA from 1 species
UAGCUCUAAUCUGCGUGCGACUAGUCCGU